rnacentral:rRNA from 1 species
CAACCUGCCGACAACACUGGGAUAGCCUUUCGAAAGAAAGAUUAAUACCGGAUGGCAUAGUUUUCCCGCAUGGGAUAAUUAUUAAAGAAUUUCGGUUGUCGAUGGGGAUGCGUUCCAUUAGGCAGUUGGCGGGGUAACGGCCCACCAAACCAACGAUGGAUAGGGGUUCUGAGAGGAAGGUCCCCCACAUUGGAACUGAGACACGGUCCAAACUCCUACGGGAGGCAGCAGUGAGGAAUAUUGGUCAAUGGACGAGAGUCUGAACCAGCCAAGUAGCGUGAAGGAUGACUGCCCUAUGGGUUGUAAACUUCUUUUAUACGGGAAUAAAGUUAGCCACGUGUGGCUUUUUGUAUGUACCGUAUGAAUAAGGAUCGGCUAACUCCGUGCCAGCAGCCGCGGUAAUACGGAGGAUCCGAGCGUUAUCCGGAUUUAUUGGGUUUAAAGGGAGCGUAGGCGGGUUGUUAAGUCAGUUGUGAAAGUUUGCGGCUCAACCGUAAAAUUGCAGUUGAUACUGGCGACCUUGAGUGCAACAGAGGUAGGCGGAAUUCGUGGUGUAGCGGUGAAAUGCUUAGAUAUCACGAAGAACUCCGAUUG